UCUUGUGACUUAUCGUAAGAUUCGGAAUCGAGCAAACAUGUUGUACAGGGCACUUCUACUUUCUAUUUUUCUGUUAUUGUGUUAUGCGACUUCACCAUCAUUAUCAACUGGGAUUGGAGAUUUAAUGGUCAGAGGAAGAAAUGGUGGAAUAUCAUGUGCAGCAUGUACGGUCGUCAUGAUUUUGACGGAGCAGGUUUCUGUGAUACACAAUGAAACCAUCAUACAUUCCCUGGAGCGACUGUGUAACUACCUCCCGGACAAAUACAGGCAGCAAUGUCGGAUAUUCACAGAGUUCUUUGGAGGAAUUCUCAUAGCGAGAUUCACAGAAGAAGACAACCCUGAUACAUUUUGCCAUAAGAUCAGAUUCUGUUACACCGAGUCAGAUAAGCAGGAAUGCCGCGCCUUUCCAAAAACCGGGUCUAGAAGUUCACGAAAUGUUCAUUCGGGAAUCUUCAAAGAAUUGUUCAGUUCCGAAAUGAAGCAAGAAACAUACCAGAUACACCAAGAUACUAAGAUUUGUGAAUUACCUGGAAUAAAAAUUAUUUGUAAUUGGAUAGACAAGAUAUUGGACAAACAUGUCCCUGUUAUUGACUUGGAUGGUGACAGAUACAGUACAUUCCAGGCACUGCGGGGGAGCUCUUGGAGGGGAAAGGACUGUGAUGAUUCUAGAAAAGACAUACACCCAGGAAGCCGGCCAAUCCAGUCAGACAGGGACAAGGAUAGUAAUUGCAAUGGUAUCAUGGGAGUAGAUCCCGUCAGCGGCCAGCCAUACGAGGACCUGUACUGCAAGGAUAGCCAAGCGAGGGGCGUGGUUGUCCUAGGCGACUCCAUCAGUGCACACUUCCACAUCCCCAGGGAGUGGCUCAACGCUACAGAAAUAUCAGCAGCAGUUUUUAAACCUUUACCUUUCAUAUUGGGGAACGAAUUUAAUUGGCCAGAAUUAUCUUCUAUCACAGGUUACAUGAACAACACUUACACCAAUGUAAAUCAUGGCCCUAUGAACUCGGUCUAUGACUAUCUGUGGCAGAGGAACCGCUGUAACCACAGGGAUUAUCAAAACCUUGCUGUCAAUGGUGCCAGAUCAUGGUCAGUGGCUGACACAAUUGAGAAAAGCAUUUCUCGUAACCAGAUAACAGAUAAUCCUGUCACACUUUUCUACGCCUUAGUUGGAAUGGAUGUUUGCAAUCCGCUUACAGACACAGUUGCUUACAUGACAACACCAGAAGAAAUGAAGAACAACUCCAUUAUAACUUUGCAGUUUUUGGAGAAAACCCUGCCUGCUGGGAGUCACGUUUUUCUUGUAGGUUUGGCAGAAGGUAGGGUCCUCUAUGACAGUCUUAAGGACAGAGUACACCCAAUUGGUUCUCUAAGGAAUGACGUCACUUACUCCCACUUCUACGAUUACUUUAACUGCUUAGAGAUAUCUUCUUGCCGAGGUUGGAUGAAUACUAACGAGACUAUAAGAAAUAUGACAACACAGAGAGCCGAGCAGCUGAGUAAUGUACUGAAGGAAGUGGCACAGACUGAGGCAGCCAAGUACCACAAUUUUAAACUCGCCUACUUGGAAAAUCCUGUUUUCAAAGUUUUUGAACAUUGGAGAAAUCUUGGACGUCCCCUUUGGGAGCUGCUUGAACCAGUAGACGGUUUUCACACAAACCAGCUUGGCCAGGCACUCACAGGGCAGGUGCUAUGGCAGAUCCUGGAAACUGAAUAUCCCGAUGCCAUCGGUCCCAUCAACCCAUUUAACAACAAGAUCAAAGCCAUUUUUGGAGACCAAGAAGGCUAUUGAGCACGUGAACAACAUCUGGAAGAGAUAUACACGUUUUCUGUGAUUAAUCUAUUGUAUUAGCUUAUUGUUUCCCAACACAAAAUUUCUGUGAAAGGUCAUUCUAUUUUAUCUUUUCCUUAUCGGAUAUAUUUUUCAACUGUUCACAAUCGAACCUUUGAGACCUAUAAUGUACGCUGUAAUAUGUGAUAAACAAUAUUUAAUUUAAUAUGACAUUAUUUCUAUAGUAGAUGUUGCCAAUGCUUGCCGUAUAUAGCAUGAUUUUAAGGAAAGAUAAACCCUUAACUUGGUAUAUGAGAUUUUAUAUACCAAGGUAUUUUCAUAAACGAAUAAUACAUAUAGGAUAAUAUUAUCAAUGUAAAAGUGAUAUCAUUUGAUAUGAAUAUAUAGUUCACUUUGUGAUGGUAGACGAAAGUGAGUAAGAUUUAAUAUUUGGUUACUUUAUGAUAAAUAUGAUUGACAUGCGUGUGUUAUAGACACAUUUUUGUAAUGUACUUGUUUUUGUUAUGUCGUGCAGCUGAUAAAAAUACCACUGACAACCUAGUACAUAUGUACUGGAGCUGAAGAGCCAAUUCUUGCCAUAAGAUAAAACCAUGACUUUGUUUUAUGCUACAAAUCGAUCACACAUUGAUGGAACUUUAAUAGGACAUGUACAUGACAUGUAAAAAAGGAGUUCUGGGUAGAUUCAAUUAAGGAUUAACCUUCAUUUUGACUGCGUAUACGGUAUUAUGAACGCAGUUGGCAACGAACAUAUUCUAUGGAGCGCGUAACGUGCGUAAAUCCAAACAAAUGAACAGCCUACAGCCCGCGAGCAGCGAUGGAUCUCCAACGUUACCAUUAUGACGUCACAAUGUAAAUUACGUCAUCAAUAGGAAGCAAUGGUCUCCAAGGAAUUUCACUGCGUAUACGGUAAUGUAUACGCAGUCACGGUUACACAACUUCAAUGGGAGCGAAUGUAAAUAUAACGUUAUGCAACAUGAUAGGAAAGACUAGAUUUGCUGUUAUGUGUUAUAAUGGGAAAACUGGGAAAUGCGUGUUAAAAAAUGUUUCAAUGUGAAAACUGUACACAUUAUAAGGAGAAAAAAAAUUAAUAAUGUGUAGGUUAUAGAUCAUAUGGGGGGAGAACUGCUGGGUAAUCAUGUGUAAAUUAUACAAUUAUAAGGUGUGUAGUUGUGUUAAUGUAUGCAUGUUCAGCUUUUCAAUAAAUCAUUAAGAAUGCCUUAUCUUUUGGAUACUGUGGUGCAGUAUACUCUAAUACUGUACAUGUUAUAGUUAUGUACAGUAUACUCUAAUACUGUACAUGUUAGGGUUAUGUACAGUAUACUCUAAUACUGUACAUGUUAUGGUUAUGUACACUGUAACAACAGUUCCAUGGACUCUUAAAUUGAAAUACAUUUAUAUCAGGGAUCAGAUUUUAUUGCUAAGAUUUUGUUAGAAAAACGAUAUUUUGCUAGUUCUUAUAUAUCUUUUUAUCUUUUAUUUACUACAUUUUUUGUUAUGAAAUUGCAUUUUGUAUAAUUUGUUUUACUAUUAUAAAUGUUCAUUGAUUUUCUUGCCUAAACAAAACACUCAUUUGAUUCCUAAUUCCUAUCUGAUAUAGAAUGCACUGUUUAGGAAAAGCUUGCAGGUUUUUGAUUCAUGAUAGUGAUAACUAUUUGACAUUAUUUCGACCAAUUGUAUGCAAAUGUAUCUGGUAAACGAUAUGAGUGCUACAUUAAUGCACGUAUUAUUAUUGUAUCAUUUCAGUCAUAUUUAUAUCAAUAAAUUGUUAAUGUUUCAUGUCCCUUUUUUAUCUCCACGAAGUCGUUUUAUAAUUAUCUUAUACUAUGUUAUAUAUCGUUUUCUUUGAAACUCUGCAUUAAAAUACCUUCAAA
rnacentral:misc_RNA from 1 species